GGAAAGCGUGGGCCUCGGUGAUUGGGCCCGCGCGGCCACGUGAGGGCUGGUUGAGGCAGGCCUGCGCAGGUGGUCGAGUGAGCACACCGUCGAGCUUCUGAAGGUGGGGGCUGCCGUGCUUAGCGCUGGUCGCUAGCCUGGGAUAGGGCAAUGCCCAAACUCGGGGCCGGGAAUUGUGUGAUGCCCCUGCUUGCGUGGGCCAGACAGAAACGGGGAGGAGAAGGGUUGAAGUUUACGCAACGUCUUUAUCAGCAGGCAAGGGUGCCCCCAAAAGGGUAGGAAGAGACCUGGUUAAAUGGAGAAAUACGUGUCUCAACAGUGCCUGCUUUUUUAUGGCAUGAUUGAAACUGCUCAGAGGUGCUAGAUUUCUCUGUAGUCCGUGUUUUCCAGUGUGGUGGAAGAAAUGUAGUGGAACUGGGAUCUGGGUAACUAACUCGUUACAUUGGGUCGAUUGGAAUCAUAAGAUUCCUCCCCUCCCUCUUACUGUUGAUAAAAGGUCUUGUAAGAGCCAAAUAUUAAAGUUUUGUUUCAUGUUAACUCGAUAUAUAUGCAGUAUUGAAAUGAUAAGAGAAAAUAACCUUGGGGAACCAAUAGCAUUAAUUGUAUAGGAAAUACCUAUAAAGUUUUAUAUAUAAUGUUUAUUUAUAUUACAUACUAUUUUCCAUUGGAUAACGAAUACUGAAAACAACAUAUGCUUGAAAGUUAAACAUACCAAACCUCACACCAUUUAAAAGAUAAAACAUGUUAUUGCUGGCCUCUCCCAAAUAGUCAAAUGUUGCAAUAACUUCUCCAUCUCAAAAUUUAAGAAGGAAAAGGUUGGUUUCCUGAAGAUGGACAUUAAAAUUUGAAUACAAAAAGUUACACAUUUAUGGGGCACCUGGGUAGGUGAGUGGUUUAGCACCCAACUCUUGAUUCCUGCUGUGGUCAUGAUCUCAGGGUAGUGAGAUCAAGUCCCCUGUGGGGCUCCACAGUCAGUGGGGGGGUCUGCUCAAGAUUCUCUCCCUCUCCCUCUCCUCCCCUACUGGUGUGCACACUGUCUCAAAUAAAUAAAUCUCGAAAAAAGUUACACAUUAGUUAAUUCUCUUUCUUUCUCUUUCUUUCUUUCUUUCUUUCUUUCUUUCUUUCUUUCUUUCUUUCUUUCUUUCUUUCUUUUUGAGAGAGAGCAAGUGGUGGGGAGGGGCAGAGAGAGAGAAUUUUAAGCUGGCUCAAGGCCAGCAGGGCUUGAUUUCAUGACCCUGAGAUCAUGACCUGAGCUGAAAUUAAGAAUCUGGUGCUUAACUGACUGAGCCACCCCGAUGGCCUGAAACUUCAUUCUUUAAAGAAUGGCUUCAAAGUCCACAAACUUGCUGAAAUGUUUUUUUAAAGUACAUAGGCAUGGUAAGUUUUAGUAAAUACUUGUUGAAUGAUGUAUUAUAUAUUAGAAAGUUUACUACUGAGCUAUGUAAGUGGGAAUUAUUUUUAUUUCAAAACUCAUUACAAAUUAUUCAUACUGUCUCAUCCACUUAAAUAUUGUAAAAUAGAUUUUUCUGUAUUAUUUAUCUUGUCCUAGUAUCUUUGGGUUAGUCACGAUUAAAUUCUAUUCCAUUUUUAUAUAAUUAGAGAAUUAGAGAAGAAAAAUAAGUUCCAUUAUUUUUGUAAAUAGGAUGUAUUGGCAAACUGAAUCUUUGCUUGUCCAAAUGUUGUUGUUGACUUACAGCUUUCAUUUUUACUAUUAUUUUUUUAAGAUUUUAUUUAUUUAUUUGAGAGAGAGAAAGAGAUAGAGAGAGAGAGCAUGAGAGAGGGGAGGGUCAGAGGGAGAAGCAGACUCCCUGCUGAGCAGGGAGCCCGAUGCGGGACUCGAUCCUGGGACUCCAGGAUCGUGACCUGAGCCGAAGGCAGUCGCUUAACCAACUGAGCCACCCAGGUGCCCCUCAUUUUUACUAUUAAGUUUUCAUCAGAUUUUAUUUAUUUGUAAGUAGCUUGUUCUGUCUGGUGUUUGUAAGGUUUUUUUUUUUCCUCUAACUUCUAGAUAUGUCCUUAUUUUUUAAAAUCUUAAUCCUUCUUGGGUAUAUUUAUCAUCUAUUGUUGGGUUACAUAUUAUUCCAAAUUUUAGCACCUUAAAACAAUGAUCAUUUUAUCUCAUAAUUGCUACUGGUUAGCUGGAUGGUUCUGGCUAAGUAUCUCCAAUGAGGUUGCAGUAAAGAUGUGAGCUGGGGCUUUAGUCAUCUGAAUGCUUGGCUGGAGCUGGAGGAUCCACUUCCAACAUGGCUCAAUCACAUGGAUGUUGGCAGGAGGCCUCAGUUCCUUGUUAUGUGAGUCUCUGUAGAGCUGCUUAGGUGUCUUUCUGAAAUGGCAACUGGCUUCCCUCAGAGCAAGUGAUUUAUGGGAAAGAACAAGGAAGAAGUUACAAUGCUUUUAAGACACAGUGUCAAGAGUCACAUACUUCAUCAUAUUCUAUCAAUCACAAGCAAGUCACUAAGCCCAUCAUACCCUCAAGGGAAGGAGAAUAAAGUUUUACUUCUUGAAGGGAGGAAUAUCAAAGAACUUGUAGAUAUACUUUAAAAUUGUCAUACUGGGAAUCAGUGAAUUAUUUCAAUCUGAAUAUAAAAAUCUUUUCUCAAGGUCAGGGAAGUAUUCUAUUAUUUUAAGAAUUACAUGUAAUUUUUAUUUCUAUAUGCAGAUUUUAAAGGGUUUUUAAAUUGAGAAGUUCUCAUGAAGGAAAUAGUGCAGCUCUGGUGGAGGUGCCAAUGGAAGGGUAUUGGUGUAUUAUAAAUCACAUAUAUGUACCACACCAACCAUGACUGUACUUUGGUCAUCCUGCCUUUCCGAUAUUCAAAACAAACCUCAGUAACUCAUCAUUUUUUUUUAAAGAUUUUAUUUAUUUAUUUGAGAGAGAGAAUGAGAUAGAGAGAGAGCAUGAGAAGGGGGAGGGUCAGAAGGAGAAGCAGACUCCCUGCUGAGCAGGGAGCCCGAUGUGGGACUUGAUCCCAGGACUCCAGGAUCAUGACCUGAGCCGAAGGCAGUCGCUUAACCAACUGAGCCACCCAGGCGCCCCAGUAACUCAUCAUUUUUAAAAGCCCAGUUAACUUACCAGGAGUCCAGGACACAGGAGUCAACACUGGCUAAAAGUUUCUAAACUAAAACUUGUGAUCAUACUGACUAUGACACAACUAAGAAAAUCAACAGACUAAUAAAAAUUUGUUAUCUAAAAUCACUCAAAAUAAAACAAUUGCCCUUGACUUUUUACAGGCCAGACAAGAGAGUCCAUACACUAGCUAAUAUAUCUUGUACCCAUCAAAAAAAGGUGAAACAAUUAGUCAAUUUUUUAAAAGGCCAUUUGGUUAAAGUUGAUCAAAUUGAUCCUUGAUAUUUAUUCUCAAGUUAGGUGCAGAAUGACUAAAAAAUUAAAUACAAGAUAGUUUCCAAAUGUCUCAUGAUAUUUAUGAUUGUCUUCAUUCUUUAUGCCUUUCCCCAUCAUCUGCCAGAGUUUUGUUUUUGAUUUUGUUUUUGUUUUUUUUAAGUAAGCUUUACACCCAACAUGGGGCUUGAACUUAGAACUCUGAGAUCAAGAGUUGCAUGCUCUACCGACUGAGCUAGUUAGGUGCCCCAUGCCAGACAUGUAAAUAUUGCUACAUGUCUACCCAGAGCUGACAUUCAAAAAGAGACCAUCUCCUUUUCAGUCAAGUGCUCUCCUAUCCUAUUUUGACCAAAAGGAGGUUGGAGGUGAGGGACGGGUCAGGAAAUUCUGAUAUGGAAUAUGGGGUAAUCUUGGUUUAACUAACGUGUAAGUAACAAUGUAAUGCUGGUCAUACAUAAUAUAUUCUCCAUAUUUAAACUCUCAAGGCUUUCUGGAGGAUCCAUAAAUAACUGAAAUUGAUUUCCUUAAACCUGAUGUGGCAGUUUUAAAACAUAGCUUCCAAAGUCUUUAUCACUUUAUCACUUCUCCCUUUGAGAGGUGGAGACUGUGUCCCUUCCCUGGAAUCUAGGCUCUCCCACUGACCAACAGAAUACAGCUGAGAUGAUGCUGAACUAAUUUCCAGGUCCAGGUCUUAAGAAUCUGGCAGUUUCCACUUACUGUCUCUUGAGACAAUCUCUUUUGGAACUGAGUACUAUGCACUAAGGGUAGAACUAUUUGGAAAGGAACUAAGGCCCAUGGCUCUCAUUGCUGGCUGAGCUGCCAGUCAGCAGCACCAACUUGGUUGCCCUGUGUGAGCUACAUUGGAAGUGAAUCCUCCAGUCGCAAGUUAAGCUCUGCUUGCUGAUGCCACAUGGAGCAGAAAUAAGUCUUCACUGCUAAGCCAUGCCCAGAUCGUUGUUUCUUUCUCAGAAGACCUCAUGGUAAUCUCAUGGGACAGACUGAAACACUUCCCUGCCAACUGAGGCAUGCUCUCCCACUAGGCUCUCAGGGUACCUCAGCAAAUGUGGAGCAACUCUCACCGUGAAAACAAGACUGGCACUGCAUGGGACCUUUAGCCACUACUAUUACGAACAGCUGUUCCUUUUGAAUACUCAAUGCCCUUUACUCACUUCUGGUAAUAUCAUUCUUUUUCCUGGUCUUCUCUGAUUGAGGUGUUCUGGUGAAGCUGGUGAAGCUGCCAAACACAAACCCUUCCUGGUGGUAGCUACAAUCCCUUCUUGCUUUCAAUUGCUCCACUCCAUACUUUCCCAUUCUCCAUUGCAGAUGCCUGAAUGACCAGAAGGGUGAACACAGGGUCAGUUCUAGGCCUAUCAGAGUCCACUGUAUGGAUUUGCUAAAAUUUACCAACCAGUCUCAUAUUGAUGAUACGGUCCAUUUAGGUUCUUUCUAGUUUGAUGGUUUGUUUUCACUAUCCCUCUCCAUAUAUAUAUAUAUAUAUAUAUAUAUAUAUAUAUAUAUAUAUAACAUACACACAUAUAUUUUAGAAAUAAAAUUUCUGGGUGAAAUGUAUAUUUAAAAUGUGAUAAUAGGGGCACCUGGGCGGCUCAGUCCUUAAGCAUCUGCCUUCAGCUCAGGUCCUGAUUCCAGGGUCCUGGGAUAGAGCUCCACGGGAAGCCUGCUUCUCCCUGUCCCGCUCCUGCUUGUGUUUCCUCUCUGGCUGUUUCUCUCUCUGUCAAAUAAAAUCUUAAAAAAUAUUUAAAAAAAAAAAGUGAUAAUAUUGUCAAUAGCCCUACAAAAAUUUUUUGUGCCAGUUUACACUGUUUAACUGUGAUUAAUCAUGUCUGCUUGCCCGCAUUAACCCUUUACGUGUCAAAUUUGUCAGUCUACACCAAUAUGACAAGUACAAAUAUGUGAUGUUAUUUUAGUUUGUAUUCUUUUAAUGAUAAAAGCAUAUGUUCACAUUUAUUAUAUGUAUACAUAUUUUUAAAAAUUUCAUUUUUAAAAUUUCAUUUAUUUUUCCUGCAAUUUGAGGCUGAAGCUCUCAAAAAUAAGAUAUGAAUUACAUCAGAAAAGUUCUGAAUGGAUAAAGAAGAUGUGGUUCACAUAUACAGUGGAAUAUUAUUCAGCUAUCAGGAUGAAUACCAUUUACACUGACAUGGAGGAACUCUAGGAUAUUAUGCUGAGUGAAAUUUAUUUAUUUGACAGAGACACAUAGAGAGCAGGAACACAAGCAUGGGGAGUGGGAGAGGAGAAGCAGGCCUCCCACGGAGCAGGGAGCCCGAUGUGGGGCUCAAUCCCAGGACUCUGGGAUCAUGACCUAAGCCAAAGGCAGACGCUUAACAACUGAGCCACCCAGGUGCCCCUAAUUUUUGAAUUUUAUCUCUCCCUUUCAUGAUUGGGGUCUUGAUGUUGUUUGUUUUCAUUUUAAUUCUGUUUUAGAGAGUCACAUAUCUGUUAUUUUUCUGUAAAAAUUUCCCCAUAUCUUGUCAUGUUUUAAUGUACAUGGUUUUCAAAAUAAGGACAGAGUACAUAAUGCUUUAGUGAAUCAUUUCACAAUCAUAUAUUGGGUACUCACAAUGUGCUAGUCGUGGGACCAUAUUCUGAAAAUAACCAAUAUUUUUUUAUGGUGCUUUAACAUUUAAAAAGUGCUUUCAUACAUAUUAUUUAAUUCUAUGAAGGUAAAAAGAAAUACAACCACCCACAACCAAACAUUCUUUGUGUGUGUGUGUGUGUGUGUGUGUACAGAGAGAAAUAUGAGAAUGAAUGAUAGGACAGACAAAAGAUGAGUUUAACUGGCUAAGAGAUGGAGAAAGUUGGAGAAAGAGGUAACAAAUGUGUGAGGGGGAGGUUGGGAAGUGGAGAAAGGAAGGACAUUCAGUGAGUACUAGAUUGGGUUACCAUGUUUGUCCCACCCUGAAAUUCCCUUGGGUAUCCUUACAAUGUCUCUUCACAUUUUUUAUGGUCUUUGGAAAUGCUAAUUAACUGGUUACCUACCUUUUCCGACAAGUUAUUCCCAGAGAGAGAAUUUUACUUUGGGCAACUAACACUACCAAUAAGGCAAGAAAUCUUAGAUAAAACGGGAGUAGGUAUGGAAAGGCAAACUUGGUGAAGUCU